rnacentral:rRNA from 1 species
AACGAACGCUGGCGGCAUGCCUAACACAUGCAAGUCGAACGAGACCUUCGGGUCUAGUGGCGCACGGGUGCGUAACGCGUGGGAACCUGCCCUUAGGUUCGGAAUAACUCCCCGAAAGGGGUGCUAAUACCGGAUAAUGUCUCCGGACCAAAGAUUUAUCGCCUUUGGAUGGGCGUGCGUUGGAUUAGCUAGUUGGUAGGGUAAAAGCCUACCAAGGCGACGAUCCAUAGCUGGUCUGAGAGGAUGAUCAGCCACACUGGGACUGAGACACGGCCCAGACUCCUACGGGAGGCAGGAGUGGGGAAUAUUGGACAAUGGGCGAAAGCCUGAUCCAGCAAUGCCGCGUGAGUGAUGAAGGCCGUAGGGUUGUAAAGCUCUUUUACCCGGGAUGAUAAUGACAGUACCGGGAGAAUAAGCACCGGCUAACUCCGUG